UCUAAUGUCAUAGGAGAACGAUUUUGCAAUUCUGAAUGAACGGGUUGCAAAACUAGAAAAUAAAAUGCUAUUACUGAAAUUUUAGAUUGUUUUCUUAUUUAGUUUUGUAAUUUGUAUGUUUCUGAUCAUAGUCUUGUUUUUAACAUUUUAAUAGGUGCUUUGAAUUGUAUUAAGCAUAUGAACAUUAUUGUAAAAGCUAGAUUCUUCAAUAAAAUUACUUUAUGUUCUUAUAUAUUAUGGCUA